rnacentral:lncRNA from 1 species
UUGCCAACUUGCAUGUAGAAACAAUAUUAAAAGGGAAACUUGCAUCUCCACCACAUGUUUUUAGCACAUGUUUCCCCACUUGUAAUAAACUAACAAUAAAAAAAGAAGCAAGUUGCAUCUCCACCACAUGCCUUUUCCCACUUGCAAUAAAAUAAAUAAAAGAAGCAAACUAGCUUCUUUCACUACACAUUCUUGCCCGAAAGCUCUCCCAUC